rnacentral:misc_RNA from 1 species
GAUGAAGAACGCAGCGAAAUGCGAUAAGUAAUGUGAAUUGCAGAAUUCAGUGAAUCAUCGAGUCUUUGAACGCACAUUGCGCCCCCUGGUAUUCCGGGGGGCAUGCCUGUCCGAGCGUCAUUGCUGCCCUCAAGCACGGCUUGUGUGUUGGGCCUCCGUCCUCCUCCCGGGGGACGGGCCCGAAAGGCAGCGGCGGCACCGCGUCCGGUCCUCGAGCGUAUGGGGCUUCGUCACCCGCUCUUGUAGGCCCGGCCGGCGCUUGCCGACACAUCAAUCUUUUUUCCAGGUUGACCUCGGAUCAGGUAGGGAUACCCGCUGAACUUAAGCAUAUCAAAAGCGGAGGA